AACGAACGCUGGCGGCAUGCCUAACACAUGCAAGUCGAACGAUCCCUUCGGGGAUAGUGGCGCACGGGUGCGUAACGCGUGGGAACCUGCCCUUAGGUUCGGAAUAACUCAGAGAAAUUUGAGCUAAUACCGGAUAAUGUCUUCGGACCAAAGAUUUAUCGCCUUUGGAUGGGCCCGCGUUGGAUUAGCUAGUUGGUGGGGUAAAGGCCUACCAAGGCGACGAUCCAUAGCUGGUCUGAGAGGAUGAUCAGCCACACUGGGACUGAGACACGGCCCAGACUCCUACGGGAGGAAGCAGUGGGGAAUAUUGGACAAUGGGCGAAAGCCUGAUCCAGCAAUGCCGCGUGAGUGAUGAAGGCCUCAGGGUUGUAAAGCUCUUUUACCCGGGAUGAUAAUGACAGUACCGGGAGAAUAAGCCCCGGCUAACUCCGUG
rnacentral:rRNA from 1 species